UGAAGUAUAGUUGAUUUAAAAUGUUGUGAUCAUUUCUGCUAUAGAGCAAAGUAACUCAGCCAUACAGGUACACACAUUCAUUCUUUUUCAGAUUCCGUUCCCAUAGAGAUGGGUCCUCCUAUUAUCACAACAGCCCCCAUUAGGGAAAGGCUUAGGGAGAUUAGACUCACACACCUGGGCAGGUGACAUAAAGAUGGGGGCAGGAUUGGAAUGAUGCACCUGUGAGCAAAGGUGCUUGAUGAAAUACAAGCAAAGGAAGGUCAGAAGCCAGUAAAAGUGGCAAGAGUCAAGGAAUGGAUUCCCCUUAGAACUUCCUAAGGAAGUGAUACUGAUUUAUGAUUUGUUGUCGGAAGCCACUGAGUGUGUGACAUUUUGUUACAACAGCCAGAGAAAAUGAACACUCAGUGGAACCCCUUGGUACUUCACAAAAAUAUUUUAGACGUAAGAGGCAUCCCAGAGAUGGUGUGUAGAAACAGGAACCCAGAGAGGUCAUGAAGUUAAAAGAAACAGGAACCCAGAGAGGUCGUGAAGUUAAAAGAACACAGAAUUUGAAAAAACUUUGGGAAAAAAGAGUACUUGGUUUUCCACAGCCUAUGGAAUGAGAAGGGGUUCAAAUCCAUUACUGUUGUAAUUUGGGUGGUGGCGUCACACAGAGAGAAGGCUCUGAAAGAGUACACCAGAUACAUUAUGGUUAGUUAGUAUUGUUGUGAUUGUGUUGUCAUCAUUGCUGUUUGCUUUAGUCAGGUUGGGCUGCUGUAGUAAACUGCCAGGGACUGUGGGGCUUAAACAACAGAUGUUUCCUUCUCACUGCUUGGGAGGCUGGGGAGUCUUGGUAGGGGUUCCAGGAGCCAGCAGAUUUAGUCUUGGUGACAGCUGUCUUCCUGAUUUUCAGAUGUCUGCCUUCUUGCCAUGUCCAUAUAGGGGAGAAAGAAAACUUCCUUUUUUUGUAAAGGAGCUAAUCUCAUUAAGGGGCUCUAAUGUCAUGACCUCAUCUAAACGUAAUUACCUCUGCAAGGGUCCACCUCCUAACAUCCAUCACAGUGGGAUGGUUCCAGCCCUCUUCCAUGUUCAGAAUAUUCUAGAAGCAAACAUGACCUGGGCAGACCACUAGCUCCCUCUAUUGGGAGUGUCUGGAGAUAGAAGAAGAGAAGUACAGGGACUCCAGACUGAGUGAGGGCUAAGGAACAUGCACAGGUUCUCAGAGGAGUAUGGGCCUCAGAUGCGAAUAAUUAUGGAUUCUAGUCAGUUUUAAAAAUUUGAGUGAGCUGAUUUCCUGAUGACUCUCACAGAAGGCAGCCAUCACAUUAAGAGGAAACUUGAACUGUAAUCCCUCAUUUUCUUUUCAUUGCCAUGAAAAAAGUCAGCAUAAUGGGAACUGAUAAGAGAGCCAAAUCACUAAAAUAUGAAAAUCACGGAAUUAGCAUUUAUCCAAAUUCCUCAGCUGAGCCUAUCAUGGAAAAAGCUUGUUUUAAUCACAUCGAGUUGCUUCUUCAUGACUGUGGAGUUUCUUAUGAGCUAAAACACCCUUUAUUCUUAUAGGCAAAAUUAAUGGCUCAACCAAAGAAUUAGAUUAAUGAAGCCAAGAGCCUUUGAAGAUCUCCAGGAAAGACAUCUUCAGCAUUUUCAAGUCCUCACCCCAUGAAACAGAUCCUUUGGAAUUAAUCAAUCUAAUGAUCAGCUCCCUCAUGUUUCCUAUGCUCAGCCUCAAAAUUUUGCCCUAUUCAAGGGCUGGGGCAGUUUGCAUGGCCACUGCCUUCUCUCUCAGAUAACAUUGUGAAAGACAAAAUGAGGACCACUGACUUUCUAAGAUCACUGUAAGUCAGGUGAAUUAUACCCAUGGUCCUUAUCUUCAAAGGCUACUGUCAUUGUGGGUUUGGCUUUGCCACAGUGAAGUGCAGAUGUUAAUCUGUCCUACAUAAGGGUGAUUUAAUUGUAAUCCUCAAUUGUGUACGUAAAGAUCUUCAUGAAAAAAAAUAAUCCUUAUUGUACUGACUAGCUGUUUUAUUUUCUAUUUUUUGACUGCUAAGCAAUUUUUGAAUUAUCAUGUAAAUUCUCUUGAUCUCAUUGAAAAUUAUGUGUUCACUCUGAUCCACAAAAUAAGAACUUGGAAUAGCCAAGUUGGUGAAAUCUUGGAGUAGUCUUUACGGAAUAUUAGUUUGGCAGAACUGAAGGAGCAAUUUCAGUGUGCAAGCCACAGGCUUACACAGUGAUAGCUGUGCUGUGAUUAAUACAUGCCAGGGCAGGUCAGAACACAGUCUCACUGUAGAUACCUGUGAUCUCUUUCCAUCACACCAUGUCUCAAACAUUCCAGCUCCUUCCUCAUCAACAGACUCAGGGAUGCCACUAAAAAAUCCCAGAAGGGUGUUAUAGCAACUUACUUUAUUUCUCUCAGUGUUCAGUUUUAAAAACUUAUCUGCUAUUGUUCUGCUAUGUGAUUUUCACCCACUUUGCCCCCUAAACUGCACUUCCUAAUAUUUUUAAAAGUAUUCUCAAAAGUUAAGUUUUAAAUUCUAAAUGUAUACAUUUAUGUAAAAGUAUAGACAAUCCAUCUUCAUUAUUCAAGGUUUCCAGAUUUGCAAAUUUGCCUACUUACUAAAAUGCAUUUGCAACCCCAUAAUCAACACUUGUGGACUUUCAUGGACAUGUGCAGAAUGGUGAAACAUGUGAGUUGUAUGUUAUUCAAAUUCCCAGCUAAGGUCGAACAAAGAGGUGCUCUGCCUUCUCGUUUCAGCUCUCAUGUUGUACACAAUGUCCUUUUCCUGGUACAUUUAAUGCCAUAUUUUUGGCACUUAUUUAGUUGUUUUUGUAAGUUAUUUCAGUGUCUAAGAUGGGCCUCCAGGGUAAUGCUGAAGUGCUAUUUAGUGUCCCUAAGUGCAAGAAGGCUGUGAAGUGCCUUGUGAGAAAAUGCAUGUCAUAAAGAAGCUUUAUUCAGGCGUGAGUUACAGUGCCAUUGGCCAUGAAAUAAAUGCUAAUCAACACUGUAUAUUAAAUAAGAUGUCUUUUAUCAGAAACACACAUAAAACAAAAGCUAGUAUUCAUUAGUUAGCAAAAUAUGUUGUGAUCAGAGGCUUGCAGGAACAUAAUCCCAUAGUUCCUUUAGGAACAGUGGUGCAGGAUUCCCUUAUUCAGUGUUCAUAACUACUUUACAAAAUGUAACUACUAAAAAUAGUGUGAAUCCCCUAUAUUUAUUCGAAGUGGGAUAUUGAUCAGUUCCUAAAAUGCAGGCAUUAAUGACAUCGGGAAAGGACUGAACUGAGUGUCCUCAAGUGAAUACUUUUGCUCUCCAUUCACAUUGAUCUAAUUGUUUGACUCUUCUGUAAUUCAGGUACCGCAUCCUACUGAAAAACAGGAUAAAACAGAGAAAAAAGACGCACUCAUAAAAAGAAAAUAGAGAUUUAUUUCCUAUGAUCACCUCCCUUUCCUUCUGCUCUUAUGUUCUUCUCUAAUGUGUAAAACUGGGUUUGUAUUUGAUUGGAUCGACUGCCAAUAAAUUAUUACCAACUGGAUGUGAUGAGAUUCUUUGAGUUGUUUUCAUAGGAUGAAGACAUCGUUCUGAGACAUAUUUAAAGAUUUACAGACAAAUUGUGAUAUUUUGCUUCAAAAUAAUGCUAAAUGAGUUGGGGACAAAAUGACUUGACACUUGCUGAAGCUGGAUGAGAGGUCCAUGGGCGUCAUUAUCCUCUUAGGUCUACUUUGUCUGCUUUUGAAAUUUUCCAUAAUGAAAGUUGCAGAGAUAAAGAACAAGGUAAGAAAUACCAUUCUUCUGUGCCAAAGCCCAUGCUUGGAGCUUUACAUGUGCUUUU
rnacentral:lncRNA from 1 species